UACGUAGGGUGCAAGCGUUAAUCGGAGUUACUGGGCGUAAAGCGUGCGCAGGCGGCUUUGCAAGACAGAUGUGAAAUCCCCGGGCUUAACCUGGGAACUGCAUUUGUGACUGCAUGGCUGGAGUGCGGCAGAGGGGGAUGGAAUUCCGCGUGUAGCAGUGAAAUGCGUAGAUAUGCGGAGGAACACCGAUGGCGAAGGCAAUCCCCUGGGCCUGCACUGACGCUCAUGCACGAAAGCGUGGGGAGCAAACAGG
rnacentral:rRNA from 1 species